rnacentral:rRNA from 1 species
GACGAACGCUGGCGGCGUGCUUAACACAUGCAAGUCGAACGGAAAGGCCCUGCUUUUGUGGGGUGCUCGAGUGGCGAACGGGUGAGUAACACGUGAGUAACCUGCCCUUGACUUUGGGAUAACUUCAGGAAACUGGGGCUAAUACCGGAUAGGAGCUCCUGCUGCAUGGUGGGGGUUGGAAAGUUUCGGCGGUUGGGGAUGGACUCGCGGCUUAUCAGCUUGUUGGUGGGGUAGUGGCUUACCAAGGCUUUGACGGGUAGCCGGCCUGAGAGGGUGACCGGCCACAUUGCGACUGAGAUACGGCCCAGACUCCUACGGGAGGCAGCAGUGGGGAAUAUUGCACAACGGGCGGAAGCCUGAUGCAGCAACGCCGCGUGCGGGAUGACGGCCUUCGGGUUGUAAACCGCUUUCGCCUGUGACGAAGCGUGAGUGACGGUAAUGGGUAAAGAAGCACCGGCUAACUACGUG